UCAUUAACACAGCAAAAGUCUAUUUACAUCAAAAACUAUGAUAUCCAACAUAGAUUUCGGGGGAUAAAGUAGCGAGUUCGGGGGAAGUUUUUUCUUCCGUUUUGCCUUGACCACCCAAUCUGCAAGUUGAUUUGCUUCUCUCGGACAGUAGGACAAACUCACCCAAUUUAAUUGGGCCAGCUUUGAUCUGCAUUCGUCCAUCCAGGCCUGUAUUUUCCAUGGACUUUGCUCCCCUUGAACUAGGCACUAAUGAGCAAAGUACAGUCGGUAUGUACUUCCACUUUGCUCCCACAAGGGAUUUCUCUUCCCAGCUUUUCUUCCACAAAACGCAGGCCAUGGAGAAGAACUAGGGCUUCAGCUGCUUCGGCCGAUCCAGCACGAACGGAGUACGCAAACCCAUCGAUCAUCAUUCCUCUAUAGUCGCGAACCACCCUAGCCACCGCUGAGUCCAACGAUCCUUUCGAUUUUGAGCCAUCCAGGUUAAGCUUUAGAGAUCCCCUCGCCAGCGGCUUCCAAAUUUAGCCUUGGAUCCGCCCAAAUGGAAGCUGCCCAUGGUCAAAGGAGUAGGAUAUGCUUGACUGUUUCCGGUACCUGUUUGCACAAGGGGCAUAAGGGGUCAGGUACGCUAUUUCUCUUGUACAGAUUUUCUCUAGUUGGUAAGGCAUUUUGGCAUGCACUCCAUAGGAAUAUCCGAAUCUUGGGGGGAGUGUUUAACUUCCACAGAGUAUUCCAGAAAGAUCUUGAUACUUGGAAUGAGAUGGAGGGUAACGUUAAUUAUUGUUGUAGGCUUACUGGACGUAGUUUGUUGUAAGCACUUUUAACCGUAUAUUCCCCA